UACAGAGGGUGCAAGCGUUAAUCGGAAUUACUGGGCGUAAAGCGCGCGUAGGCGGUUGUAUAAGUUGGAUGUGAAAUCCCCGGGCUUAACCUGGGCACUGCAUUCAAAACUGUACGGCUAGAGUGUAGGAGAGGAAGGUAGAAUUCCAGGUGUAGCGGUGAAAUGCGUAGAGAUCUGGAGGAAUACCGAUGGCGAAGGCAGCCUUCUGGCCUAACACUGACGCUGAGGUGCGAAAGCAUGGGGAGCAAACAGGAUUAGAUACCCUGGUAGUCCAUGCCGUAAACGAUGUCUACUAGCCGUUGGGGGACUUGAUCCUUUAGUGGCGCAGCUAACGCAUUAAGUAGACCGCCUGGGGAGUACGGUCGCAAGACUAAAACUCAAAUGAAUUGACGGGGGCCCGCACAAGCGGUGGAGCAUGUGGUUUAAUUCGAUGCAACGCGAAGAACCUUACCUGGCCUUGACAUGUCUGGAAUCCUGUAGAGAUACGGGAGUGCCUUCGGGAAUCAGAACACAGGUGCUGCAUGGCUGUCGUCAGCUCGUGUCGUGAGAUGU
rnacentral:rRNA from 1 species